rnacentral:rRNA from 1 species
GACGAACGCUGGCGGCGUGCUUAACACAUGCAAGUCGAACGAAGUGGCGAACGGGUGAGUAACGCGUAAUCAACCUGCCCUUCAGAGGGGGACAACAGUUGGAAACGACUGCUAAUACCGCAUACUGAAGGAGGGGAUUGCGUCUGAUUGGCUAGUUGGAGGGGUAACGGCCCACCAAGGUGAGGAGCAGUAGCCGGUCCGAGAGGUUGAACGGCCACAAGGGGACGUGGAAACGGCCCAGACCCCUUAGGGAGGCAGCAGGUGGGAAUCAUCCGAAAUGGACGAAAGGCUGACUGAGCAACGCCGCGGGAGGGAUGACGGGCUUCGGGUUGUAAAGCUCUGUUAAUCGGGACGCGGUACCGGAAGAGAAAGCCACGGCUAACUACGUGCCAGCAGCCGCGGUAAUAC